UACAGAGGUCUCAAGCGUUGUUCGGAUUCAUUGGGCGUAAAGGGUGCGUAGGUGGUGGGGUAAGUCGGAUGUGAAAUCUCCGAGCUCAACUCGGAAAUGGCAUUGGAAACUACCCUGCUCGAGGGUCGGAGGGGGGACUGGAAUGCUUGGUGUAGCAGUGAAAUGCGUAGAUAUCAAGCGGAACACCAGUGGCGAAGGCGAGUCCCUGGACGACUCCUGACACUGAGGCACGAAAGCUAGGGGAGCAAACAGG
rnacentral:rRNA from 1 species